AGUAUCCUGACGGCGAUAUUCAUUGACCUGUUUGUACUCGCCAAUUCAAUUGGAAACGGGUCGAAUAAUUGUCAAAAGUAAUCUUUCGUUAGAGCCUUGAACCCUAAUAUAACACUUUUCUUCGACCUGUUUUAGUGUCUAUUUUCCAACAAAUCUUACAAAUCAAAACUCUGUUCUCUCAUAAAUCAGCAUCUCUGCCAAACCCUUGUUGCGGCUAAAUCAUGUCAUGUUCGUAAACAAUGGGUUAGUAGAGAUCAAGAAGAAGACGGAGCAGGUGAGAAAGUUAGUUUUGGGCUUUGCUGUGGCUUACAGAGUAACAGAGAAAUAGAAGAUGGUAUUAAAAUUCGAAUUUCAGAGAAGGGGAAGAUGAAAUGUUACUUCCGUUGACGAAUAAUGGGUUCUCCUGGUUUGAUUCGAUUUGAAAUAGGAAGGAUCUAGUGCAACUGAAGAUGGUGGUUUCAGUGAUGUUCUACCAAGAAGUUAGGUCUAAAAAUGAAGCUGUUACAGAGGAAAUUGCAAUUGGGGUUUGAGGUUGAACUCAAGAUUGAUGGUGUGUGGAUUUGGUUGAAUUAAUUUUGGUGUUGCUGAGAAAUCCGAGAAGAAGGAGAGAUGGGAUUGUGUUUGGGUUUGGGUUUGAACUGAGUGGAAUCAGGAAAGACAAAUCUUUCAAUCACUCAAACCCUAGAAAUCGAUUUCUUUUUUGAAGUCAAAUCAUUCUGUAUAGUGUGUUUGGUUGCAACUCUUUCUAUUAUACAUGAAUGGAUCCUGCAGGUACAACCCUAAUCUUUUAGUUGGUAAAAUUUUGUACAAAUUUUAAUUUUCCAAUUUUAAUUUUUGUUGAAGCAUUUGAUGGAGUUUUAUGCAAAGGGAUUACAAGCGGAGCUCAUAUUCAUUCAACUCUGUUUCAGCGCACUUCCUGGGAAAGCAGCCUGUCAUGAGACUUGUGCCUUAAAAGAUCGAUAUUGUUACAUGUUAAGGGACACUAAUACACUUGGGUUGACAAAAUUUGUCAUUGGAGAGAUCAGUUUAGGGGUCUUGGCAAAGACAAAUCUCAUGGAUAAGGGUACUGAUUCUAUUGAUACAGAUCCUUCAUCACUUUUGCUGCUGCACGACUUCUUCGACUUUUUCUCUCCUUGUUUAUCUCAUUAAAUUCAUCAUAUACUAUAACAGCAAAAGCAAUACCAACUGCACCAAUCGAAAGACCAAGACAAAUUCCAGCUGUUGAGAAAAAAACAUGGUAAAUUGCUUGGUAUAUUGCUUUGUCCCGAUAUGAACUGACACGACUAGGUGCAGCAGCUUGGUAUAUUGCUUUGUCCCGAGAUGGCUGAUUGUUGUUCAUAGUCCGACUGGCAUAUCCUAAUGAGCUUUGCAGACUUAAGCGAACUGGAUCAUUAUGUCGUGCAUCCAUUGUGUACACUCUCCAAGCGACCUUUCAGAACUCCUGUGGAUUCAAAAAGCAUAUGUUAAGAUGGAGCAGGAAGAAUACAGCAAGGAAACAAUUGACUGGGGCAACAUUGAGUUCAUUGACAACCAAAUUGCGCUGGAUUUGACUGAAAAGGUGGCAGAAGCAAAGAGUUUACUUCUUGGAUGUCUUCGCACAUCUCCAAGCAUGAAUCUCCCAUCAUGUUGUUUAACUGGUUUCUUGCUUGCUCAUCAUGCUACUUUAAGACUUUGGUUGAGAAGGCUUCAAAGACGUCGUUUAUGAAGCUUGUAAUGUUCAGGAUGAAUUGGUUCUUGUCCUUGUGCCAAGUGAAGAAAAAGAAUCGACCUUGUUCUGAAUGUGAUUUUUUUUUUUUUUUUGUGUAUAUUCAAACUAAGUUCAUAUUGGUGUAGAAUAUUACCAGGUCAGGUUUAAUAUAAUUUGUAAUACG